rnacentral:lncRNA from 1 species
CGCCGCCGCGGAGCAGACCGAAUAUCUCCCAGCAGUGGUGACUGUUGCGGUGUUGCCGCAUCCACGCCCUAGUCGACCACGCCGCCCCAGCAGCCCGCUGCUGCCGCGGCUCGCGCCCCCAGUAGCCCCCGCCGCCGCGGCUCGUGCCUCGUAUCCGUAACAGCUACACCGCGCCACCUGCCCCGCUUCCUGCUGGCUGCAUCGUCCUCAGGUCUUCCGAAGGCGAGCUCCAAUCCCCAACCACUAUUCACAAGGUUUGAAUUCUGUACCAGUGAAUCAAGAGAUCUCGAGCUCUGUUUCGUGGGCAGGGUCAAGGAUUGUCUAGAAUCGCACCCUGACACUGUAUUUUGUUGUUCGUUUUAACUGAUGACAAGUUGAACUGACGCAUAUUUACAAGACAUGAACUGUAUAUUAUAUUUCCUAUAUAUAUCCUGUACCAGCAAUAUUAUAUCAUUUUUCUCGUUUCUGAACAAUCCAAUUGGGGCCAAACCUUGUAUUCCUAUCUGAUCUAAUUACAAGUGUGUAUAUGUAUUAUGCCAACUAACUUCGAUUAUUUGUGUAUAAUGCCCACUAACUUCACUUAUUUUGCCAAAAAAGGUUGUACAUGUUUACACUCAUGCGGUUCACUGGCUCCUCCCUAUUGGCUAUUGCAGAUGACUACAAAACUUGACCAAUCUUCUGCGGGGGCCUGACCUCGCUUUGGACCCUGUCGUGUGCAAAGGAAGGGCUUUGGCCUACCAGGUAUCGUACUAUCACUUAACACUCUUCUCUUUCGCCUCCAUGGGUUUAUGCUUCUAGCCUGCUCUAUCUCUUUGCAUCCAUUGUUCUAUGCACUACCGCCAUCUUUUUGCAUUUUGAUUGAUGCAAUAUGUUUGGUUCAACUUGUACGUACUAGUACUAGUUACACUAUGCUACCUUUUCUCAGUAAAAAUAAUCCUUGGAAAUAGCCCACCACAGUUUUAAAUAAUUCCAUAUUGCUUCCAGUAAAAAGGAUGUCUAACUUGGGUGUCUUUUCUUAAAAUGUUUCUUUCUCUUGGUAGCCUGGUACCUGUGUCAAUCUACAUUCAAAACUUAACCAGGAAUAGUAUGCAUGCAUUUUAGUAGCCGCUUUAGAAAUUUAGAACUUGGUGCGUACUUCAGUUCCGUUGGUUAGAAUAGGAAAUGCUAAAAAAACUCACCAUUGAGUGAGCAUUACUUUGGAGGCUAGACCAAAUUGUAUCAUUAUUUACUUUUAUUGAGAGGAUAAGCCCAGCCUCCUCACUGACUGGACAGAUAAUGGCCAUUUCUUGCGAUUCUCUCCUAAGCCCUGCGCCCCUGUCUACCGUCAUCCGCUGCAGAGAGUCGGCGUCGGCAGCCCAGCACCGUCCUGGUAACUAAGCGAUAGCUUCAGUUCAUAAUUUUGUUUUUUAAUUCUUGUAAGUAUCCAUCUGUCUAGCAGCCCAGCACCGUCCUGGUAAAUAAUUCUUUAAGUUUAUUUUUGUAACUAAGCGAUAGCUUCAAUUCAUAAUUUUGUUUUCAAAUUUCAGCAUAUUGUCAUGUCAUCUAGAAAGUAUCCAUCCGGUUCUGAGAAAAGGAAGAUGAAGAAACGAGCAUAUGAGUUCGCUUCGAGACAUGUUAGAAGACAAUUUUAAGGUAAUCACAUAUUUGUAUUUUUUUUCUUACGAUGAAUAAUUUUUUGAUGUAUUUUUAAAUGUUUAUUACCAAUAUGUAUUAUAUAUAUAUAUAUUAUUAUAUAUAUUAAGUCUGGCCCCGGGCCCCUAAUUUGUCAGGACCGUCACUGGUAAUCGUGACUUAAUACGCUAUUGUUUAUUUGUUAUAACAGAGAAUUCCAAUCACGACUUAAUGAGAAAUUGUCCUCGAGGCAGUAUGAAAAUGCACUUGUUGUUACCUACAUCUCCCUCUACCGAACAUCAGGUAUGCAUAUUCAUCAUCAUUUACUUGUUGUUAGUUAUAUUAUGAUGUAACUCAGCAAAUGUCAUUUGUACAUGUAUAUUAGACCCCUCCAGCUACCUUGCCGACGCAUGAACAAGAGGACGAGUUAGACUUUGUCGAAACCCUCUUCAAUAGUGGAAGAGGACAGGUUAGACUUUGUCGAAACCCUCUUCAAUAGUGGAGGUAUUGACCAUCACUCUUCACUGUAACCCGAUGGUGAUCGGCGACCGUGAGCUUCCAUGUUAUUGCGUUCUGAUACUUGAGACUUUUAUUAUGACUAUGUAUGAGAUAUUGUCUCUUAUUAGUACUGGAUGAUGAGAUGUGUCUUAUUAUGACUAUGGAUGAGACUUUUGUGAUGUAAUUGAUAAGACUAUGGAUUUAAAUAUUGUUAUGUGAUUGUGUGUGAGAUGUUUUAUG